rnacentral:rRNA from 1 species
UACAGAGGGUGCGAGCGUUAAUCGGAAUUACUGGGCGUAAAGCGCACGUAGUCGGCUUUGCAAGUCGGGUGUGAAAUCCCCCGGGCUCAACCUGGGAACUGCAUCCGAGACUGCAUUGCUAGAGUAUGGGAGAGGGAAGCGGAAUUUCUGGUGUAGCAGUGAAAUGCGUAGAUAUCAGAAGGAACAUCAGUGGCGAAAGGCGGCU